AUCUCGAAAGCCUGUCCCAGUUCGGACUGGAGUCUGCAACCCGACUCCACGAAGUUGGAUUCGCUAGUAAUCGCGCAUCAGCCAUGGCGCGGUGAAUACGUUCCCGGGCCUUGUACACACCGCCCGUCAAGCCAUGGGAGCCGGGGGCGCCUGAAGUCCGGGACCGCGAGGACCGGCCUAGGGCGAAACUGGUAACUGGGGCUAAGUCGUAACAAGGUAUC
rnacentral:rRNA from 1 species